rnacentral:rRNA from 1 species
UACGAAGGGGGCUAGCGUUGCUCGGAAUCACUGGGCGUAAAGGGUGCGUAGGCGGGUCUUUAAGUCAGGGGUGAAAUCCUGGAGCUCAACUCCAGAACUGCCUUUGAUACUGAGGAUCUUGAGUUCGGGAGAGGUGAGUGGAACUGCGAGUGUAGAGGUGAAAUUCGUAGAUAUUCGCAAGAACACCAGUGGCGAAGGCGGCUCACUGGCCCGGUACUGACGCUGAGGUGCGAAAGCGUGGGGAGCAAACAGGAUUAGAAACCCUGAG